UUUGUUUAUUUCCUUUCUCUUUCCUGUUCCACUCUUACCCUUCCUCUACUCUUUUACCUUAUUACUUAUUAAAGGCUGCUCUCUUGCAGUCCUUCAGCACUUUCUCAACCUUUUUGUUUCUUAUCGGUUAAUGUUUAUUCUUGUAUAUUUUGUAUGUGCUGUGAAGUUGUUUAAUAAUAAUAAUAAUAAUAAUAAUAAUAACAUGUGUUUCUUCAGAAUUUUUCCUGCUAUGCCUAGCGAUUUUUUUGAAUGGAAAAAUCAUGGUGAGUUUGCCGCUUUCAAAGCAAGUAAUCAAGUGAGCCCUUAUGUUCUGUUGCUUAUGUCAUAUUUGUAGUGGUUGUAUCCAUAAGCCAGAGAUUCUGAACUCUCCAAGUUGCUAUUCUGAUGGUAUAAACGUUAGGUUUUUUUCAGGUUAUUUUGAACACACUGAUUGUGAAAACUUCUUUGUUGCUAUUAAAGAGCCACACUGCUGUUUGUUUACUUAUAAGAAAAAUUUGUCGCCAAAAAGGUAAAGCAAACUGAGAUAGGGGAGUCUUUCAUUUUCUUUGGAGUUGGAAUUAAGGCAUAACUCUUGAUGUGUAAAAUUGUUAUCAGUUCCCAUAUACAUAAGGCAACAUGGAGACAGAGCUUCUUUGAGUUGCUGCACAGCAUAUAGAUGUGUACAUGUCCAUCAUAGGUCAGCCCAUUUAUGAAUAGACAUUAAGGCAUUUGAUGAUGCUUCUUUUGAAAUUCGUUUGCCUCUUUUAAUAAAAUUUCAAACAUUU